rnacentral:lncRNA from 1 species
ACGGACGCGUUCCAAAGAGGACGUCCGCACUUUCGGUAAAGUGCGGACGACGGCGCUGCAGCCCAACUCAGGAAACGACGGCGCGGCGCGGCUUGCCGGAGGGAGGUUAGGGGUCGUGCGGAGGGCUCUGUGGUCGAGUGAAGUCGCCGGCGACGGGUUUUCCGGUGCUGCACAGAACCUGCAACUACAAGUGAGGUGGCUGCCCAGAAACCAGCAACCCGACCUCCUCCGACCUCGAACGGUGCCCAGAAGCCGUCUGGGAUGCUUCCGGCCCGAUUCGCGCAGCCGUCGACGCCUGAGCUGGGCUGCAGCGCCGACGUCCGCACUUUAGCGAAGUGCGGACGUCCGC